CCUACGGGGUGCAGCAGUCGAGAAUCAUUCACAAUGGGGGAAACCCUGAUGGUGCGACGCCGCGUGGGGGAAUGAAGUUCUUCGGAUUGUAAACCCCUGUCAUGUGGGAGCAAAUUAAAAAGAUCGUACCACAAGAGGAAGAGACGGCUAACUCUGUGCCAGCAGCCGCGGUAAUACAGAGGUCUCAAGCGUUGUUCGGAAUCACUGGGCGUAAAGCGUGCGUAGGCUGUUUCGUAAGUCGUGUGUGAAAGGCGCGGGCUCAACCCGCGGACGGCACAUGAUACUGCGAGACUAGAGUAAGGGAGGGGGAACCGGAAUUCUCGGUGUAGGAGUGAAAUGCGUAGAUAUCGAGAGGAACACUCGUGGCGAAGGCGGGUUCCUGGACAUUAACUGACGCUGAGGCACGAAGGCCAGGGGAGCGAAAGGGAUUAGAUACCCCUGUAGUC
rnacentral:rRNA from 1 species